rnacentral:rRNA from 1 species
CCCCAAUCCUCCACCCAGACAGAGCAAGUCUAGGGUUUCUUCGCAUAAGCAGAGCGGCGAUGGCGAAGGCGGAGGCGGAGGCGGAAGUGGACUCCUACAUUAAUUAUAUGUUGAUGCAGAGGAGGGAGGCGAUGAGGAAGGUUGAUGAGGCGCGGGAGAGGAUGAAGAGAGGAGGCCCCGGCCGCAAAAUGAAGAAACGGAAGACGGAGACGGGAAAGAGCUCAAAGAAGGCGGCGGCGGUUCCGGUGGAGAUGAGCGUCAGCGAGGUGGGGAGCAGCCCAGCGGAAUCUGAAGAUCUGGCGAGGACAAGGGAGAUUAUGGAAGCAGCCAUGGCCAAGAUUCUGGCGCGGAUGAAGGGGAUCGUCAUCAAGGAGCCGGUCAAGACGAUGACAGAGGAGGACGUCGCGGCGGCGGCCGUGUACAGAGCCAAGGCGGAGGAGGCGCGCAGGAACGAGGACCGGCCGGAGGAGUCCAGCGCCCUCAGGAAGUGGAUCGCCACGGGAGACCCCGAGGCCGUCAAGUGCCGCAAGGAGUGGAUCGCGGACGACAUGGAGGCCCUGAGGCUCAAGGACAUGGAUCCCGACGAGGAUACCUCCGACUGGCGUGCCUUCGAGGCCAAGGAGUUCCGCGAGUUCUGGGAAUACCUUUAUCCCAAAUCCUUCGGAAAAUUCGAGGACAACACGCGUAUCCCAAACAUGCUUUACACGGACAAGAAGUCGUCAGGUGGCACAGCCCACCCCAUAAGAACUCUGCAGGUCUUUACAGUCAAAGUCGCGGGAUUACAAGAUGGAGUGCACUGGCCGCUGGAAGUGUUUGGCGUCGUUGCUGCACGAGACUGUUUGGAUCAUAAUCGCAAUGUUAUCUUCCAGCGCGAAAGGGAUAACUGCCAAAUGAUCCACAAGGAGGUUUGUAUUCCUGCCGCUGACAGUUAUUAGUUUGGUGUCUAUGUAUGUACCUCCAUCAAAACUAUACAGUGUGAUGAUAUUAGUAAAUAUAUGGUCAAAUUACAGAUUUAGAACAUAAAGUGGAACGAGAAAAUAAUAUACUUUUUUUUUGUAGACUUUGCGAAGAUGAAACAGUCUGUGCCACAUAUAUAUGUAGAUUUCAGAAUAUAUGAUCUGGGCAUUGCCAUUGGCACAUAUAUACGAAGAAUUUUGGGGUACUCCCCUGUGUAGUUACUCCCUAGGCAUCCAUCGUUAUUUAACCUUCCUGUGCCACAAGCCUGAUCGGGUUAAUAUGGAUGCUUCAGAAGACAUUUUGCUAAUUAAGUUUAUUAAUUAAUUAAGUAAUCCAGCAAGUGAUGUGUUGGUUCAAACACCUCUUUAAUUAUUGGCCACAGGGAACAAAGUUCUUGAUCGGAUAAGGAUAUUAAUACCACCAUGUUUAUUAUUCCAUAAGAUGGAACAAAAAUAUCUGGUUGGAGCACACUGUUUUUUGAAGGAAAAAUAGUAUGGAGCAUGUAUUAAGAAGUGUAUCACAUUUUCAGGAGUAUGCACUCUGUAAUAUGAAUAUGAACCUUUUUAAGAGUAUGCAGUAUGCGGUAUAUUGUACUUAGAAUAUAUAAAUGGAGUAUGUAUACUUUGGAAAAUGUAUAGUUACUGAGUAGUAGAUAACUUUUUUAAGAGUAUGGGAGUGUGGUAGAGUAUGUGUUUAUAGCUGCAGUAUGGAUUAUAUUGUUUUAUUAGAGCGUCCAGUGUGUGUGUGUGCGAUUUGGAAAACCUGUUCACUUGCCGGCAUAUAGCUGUUCUGCUAGUAUGUAUAGCUGCCAAUAAAACCAUGGCCCUGGCAACUUUCGUUCAAUCCAACCAUGGAUUGUGCACACACCCUGCUUCUCAAGUUCUCCACCUGCAAUUAAAUCGAACUUGGGGUAUUUCCUUGUAUCCGAGUUAUUACACAGCUGGAGAAACAACUGGAUUUUAUUCUCUAGAGAAAAGUUGCUAUGCGAUUUAAACAAGAGAUUAGACUACUCACAUUAAGCACCAUCAGACAGUGUCAACCAGUUGAGACUUCUUCCCUAAGUGGCUGUUUACCCAUGUGGUCGAUCUUCCCUCUCCUGAAGCUCUUUCUACCUCACCUCCUCCUCUGGUCUCACUCUCUCUCCCAUCUCCGGUGGUUCCAGCGGUGGAAAGAAGAGGGAUGGAGGCCUGUAUCCCCCUACUAUGAUAUUAGGUGUUGUAAUCUUUUUAAUAAACCAGAUAUGCCAGUUAGUCUUCUCCUGCUCUUCCUUGCUCUAUACCUGGUGGCUGGAGCUCUUGCAAGCAGUGGAUGAUGGCUCCCUGGCGGAUCUGCUCCUCUACAGGGUUUGGCCCCUGGCUUCACCCUCCCAUCCACUUCCCAGCUGCCGCCUGUCCAUGUUGAUGGCAAGUUGUUUGGCUUAGGUGGUGUCAUCGACGAUGGAGCUUAUGCAGGAUCCGCGCCUUCUUUAUCCAUGGCCUCUCGCCGUCUGCUAGAUCCUUGUUCGGUGACGUCUUCUUCCUGUCGCCUUUCUCUUUUCCCCAGGUAUCAAUAAAUCCCUGUUUCAUUCCUCAGUUAUCCUCACCGGAUUUGGUGCUCCAUUUUUUUUUCCGCCGACGGCUUCCUUUCUAAGCCAUAGAUCUGCCCCCUUCCUGCUUUGGGAGGGUUGGUUUCCUGGGAUUGGCAUUCUAUUAUUCCUUUUUCUUGGCUCCUCCCUUCUUCUCUGGCGAAUUGUUUCAUGCCUCUCUUAUGCACUGGACAAAGGCCUUCCGUUGCCUAGGUGUUUGAUGGGACGGCGGCAGCGAGCGCCUGGGACAAUUAUAAUCAUAGCAAGCCGUUUGAUCGCAUCCCAUUUGAGAGAGCGGGAGGGGAAGGGAGGGGGUGGGAGAAUUCUAUGGAAGGGCGCCUACAACAUUUAGCCUACUCUUGGCUGUUCCCUUUGAGAAUACAUUGGACCUCUUUAGUUGUGCGACCACAAGGCGUAGGUAGAUUCUCGAAUCCAUAGCCUCCCCUGGUCUGUGUGAGACCAUUCUUUUAUUUUGUUUGUACCUGUUACUUUAUCGUGUUCUCUUGUAAAUUUCUGCUUGAAAAUUUUGAACACUGUUGUGAUCUGUUGACAAAUUAACCUUUCAGAUAUCUGUUUUUAGUAGUAUAUGAACACCCUAAUAAUAUGCCCCCUUUUUUGUAUGUUGUUUGCAGACUACACAUGUUUUUGCAAGUUAUGUUUUCAUUGUGAUGAUGCUCGAUGCCUUUGGGUUCAGUUUACAUAUGUUUGUUAACUUGCUUCAGCUUUGAAGACUUGAAAUGCUUUCUUACCUAUCUCGACUCAAAUCUACUGGCUCUAAAUUACAUCUUAAUUUUGCAUGUCACGUGUUUACCUUUCUUCUGUGCUUGCUAUCGACAGAUAUUUAAAUUAAGCUAUUUUGCUUAGGUUUCAUUUUAUUUAUGAUUGUUUGUCGAUGAAUGCACAUUCUCUCUUAUUUUCAACAUAUAUUGGUCAUAUAUGCUGCAGUCCUAUUUGAGAUAAACGAUACAUUACUUACUAAAUAAUGUCUGCAUUCAGAAUCCGUAUCUGACACUGACAGGUCCUAGCCGUGCUAUUGUGGUGGUGGAUCCUGUGUGGUUUGAGGUUGCAUUGAAAGUGAAGGGCGCCACUGAAUCUGAGGAUAAAGAGUUGAGCUAUCACGUCGAUCCUUAUUAUAUUUCCGGCUCAAUGAAUUCCUAUGUGUUCAAUCGCGUCAGGACUAGCAGGCUCAGCACAAUGGAGUUGACAUUGGGUGACAUGGUUCAUUCCGUGGAGGCCACCAUCAGUGUGAAAGUGGUUGGCGGGGAGUGGCCACAAGGUUUCAGAGGUGUAUUUACCGCCACUACCGCCAGCAUAGACGAGGAGAAAAUCGAGUUGCUUGGUUUCGGAGACGACAAAUUGCCUGUUGUAGCUGAUGGCUCAAUACAGCUCUCACGAAGUGUUGUGUCUGUCGAAGACGACGGGCAGCUGAGAGUCUCUGUCAUGGCGCGUCACCUGGUGGAUCGAUCUGUCAGGCGGGCUUCUGGAGUACUCGCAGCUAAGACAUCCUCCAGAAGCUAUGCUAACCUUGAAGUUUUCUCUUGUAAGAUGGAAGUCACUGUCGCCUGGUCUCUUCUCCCGUACUGGCCACAUUACCGUGACAUGCCGUGUCCUAGCAUAUGAAUGUGGCUUUGGUUUGGCUCUAGGUGCCGAAAGUAGUUAUUUAUCUAUGCAUGUAUGUAUAGUUCGUAGCAUGUGUUAUGCGGUGGUACUGUAGCUUAAGCUGGGUGGGUUCAGUCCUCGCACCGGGAAAAUAAUUAUGUCGACAUAAGUUUAUGACCUAACAAUUUUUUAGCAAAAGCCAACUGGAGAUUGUCUGCUGGGGAGGGUGGCAUUUUGAACGGUUUUGCGGUCGUUUUUAGUUGUGUUGGGGAUGGCUGUUUCUUCAGAACAACAUACAUUUUCUAGGAGGGUGAUAUCUUUGAACCUUCAUCCUAGAAAAUGUCAAACUGCCACCCCCGGCUAACUAAAACUGCCAGCAAAAUGUUCGCACAUACCACCUCUCAGCGAACGGUCACUAGAUAAGAG